rnacentral:sRNA from 1 species
AGUACACACAGGACCGUGGCCGCGGAAUGCAGUUGAGGGCAUCCCUCCCCACGCAGGGAGCCAGAAACCGGGAUAGGAAAAGGCUGGUGGAACACCCACCAUCUCUCAGGAUCUCGCCGUAUCUUACCACCUCCCCUUACCCCCCCAGGACCGAGUCUCCUGCCAUUCUGAGCAGGCCUGGUAUGGGUAAUGGUGUGAAGGAAGGCCCGGUGCGAUUGCAUGAGGAUGCCGAGGCUGUCCUAUCCUCGUCCGUCUCAUCAAAGCGUGACCACAGGCAAGUGCUCAGCUCCCUGCUGUCCGGGGCCCUGGCUGGCGCCCUUGCCAAAACAGCGGUAGCCCCCCUGGACCGAACCAAAAUCAUCUUCCAAGUGUCUUCAAAAAGAUUUUCUGCCAAGGAGGCCUUCCGGGUCCUCUACUACACCUACCUCAACGAGGGCUUUCUCAGCUUGUGGCGCGGGAAUUCGGCCACCAUGGUGCGCGUGGUGCCCUACGCCGCCAUCCAGUUCAGCGCACACGAGGAGUACAAGCGCAUCCUGGGCAGCUACUAUGGCUUCCGCGGAGAAGCCCUCCCCCCUUGGCCUCGCCUCUUCGCCGGCGCACUGGCUGGAACGACAGCCGCUUCACUGACCUACCCCCUGGACCUGGUCAGAGCGCGGAUGGCCGUAACCCCGAAGGAAAUGUGAGUCCUUACAUCGUGAUGAGCAUCAGCCCCGGGGGCUCUGUGUCUCGGGGGCUCCCAGGUCGGAAUCCCUCUCUCUAUCGGGCCCCUGGGGUUUGCAUCUGGGCCUCUGUGUCCACAGGGCAGGCCUGAUGUGUCAUUCUGCAGCUGUUCCAGAAAGGCAGCAAUUUGUUCUCUUAGCCUGGGGGUCACUUUCUGCUUAGAUCAAACCAAGAGUCUUCAUUUUGAACUGGGCACAGAUGCAUUAAAAAUAUGUAAGAAUAUGGCCUGGCGCGGUGGCUCACGCCUGUAAUCCCAACACUUUGGGAGGCCAAGGCAGGAGGAUAGCUUGAGCCCAGGAGUUUGAGACCAGCCUGGGCAACAUAGCAAGACCCCAUCUCUACAAAAACUGAAAUAUUAGCCCGAUGUGGUGGCAUACGCCUGUGGUCCCAGUUGCUCCAGAGGCUGAGGGAGGAGGAUUGCUUGAGUCUGGCAGCUUGAGGCUGCAGUGAGCCAUGAUCACGCCACUGCACUCCAGCUGGGCCACAGAGUGAGACCCUGUCUCUA